rnacentral:rRNA from 1 species
UACGUAGGGCGCAAGCGUUAUCCGGAAUUAUUGGGCGUAAAGAGCUCGUAGGCGGUCUGUCGCGUCGGCUGUGAAAACCCGAGGCUCAACCUCGGGCCUGCAGUCGAUACGGGCAGACUAGAGUGUGGCAGGGGAGACUGGAAUUCCUGGUGUAGCGGUGAAAUGCGCAGAUAUCAGGAGGAACACCGGUGGCGAAGGCGGGUCUCUGGGCCAUAACUGACGCUGAGGAGCGAAAGCGUGGGGAGCGAACAGG